UACGUAGGGGGCAAGCGUUGUCCGGAAUCAUUGGGCGUAAAGAGCUCGUAGGCGGCUCGUUGCGUCGGCUGUGAAAACCCGCAGCUCAACUGUGGGCUUGCAGCUGAUACGGGCGGGCUGGGAUUCGGUAGGGGAGACUGGAAUUCCUGGUGUAGCGGUGAAAUGCGCAGAUAUCAGGAGGAACACCGGUGGCGAAGGCGGGUCUCUGGGCCGAUACUGACGCUGAGGAGCGAAAGCGUGGGUAGCAAACAGG
rnacentral:rRNA from 1 species